GCCGGUGUGAUGGAAUGGUAGACGUAGCGGAUUCAAAAUCCGCCGGGGGCGACUCCGUGUGGGUUCGAGUCCCACCACCGGCACCA
rnacentral:tRNA from 7 species